UGUUGGGACGCCACUAUUUUCUGACGCCUAGAUAUUAGUCGAAAAAUUCCCUCUUUUGGUGACUUCAAAUUUUUGGCGUAAGAUAUAAGGGGUCAAUUCCGACGCCUACUGGUAGGGGUCGGAAAUACAUUUUUCACUCCCUUUUUAUUCACCUCCCCGGCCUUUUUUUUUUUUUUGGGCCCAGCCUUUAUUUUUUGGGACAAAACGUCGGGUAAAAUUGGUUUUUUCCGACGUUAAGGGAGGUUGGAAAAAUCUAAACGACACCGUAUAGAGUUGGAUCUAUUAUUAUUAUUAUUUUUCAAACAUGUUAAUUUGGACUCUUAUCCAAACGCUGUCUUGUGCUUUGGGGUCGCCGAUGAACCACACCAUUUUCCCCAAAUUUCUUUUACUCCAGUUUAGCUCGCAUUUUGUUCAGCUCGCAAUUUGUUCAUCAAGCAUUUCAAUUGUCAAUCGAAGCAUUUCAAUCGUCAAUCAUUUGCAUUCUGUUCAUCAAGCAUUUUAUCAACGAUCAUUUGCACUCUUCGUCCUCGAUUAUUUGCUUUAUUUUCAUCAAGCACUUCAUCAUUUGCGAUCUAGCAGCUGAAACGAUGGAUAAGAGUUGGAUGCAGAUUCUAACUAGGGUUCAUCCACUGUACUUGAAAGGAAUAGAAGAUUUCAUUCAGUUUGUGAGUGGUCAUCUGGAUGGUUUAAAUAGAGCGCACUGUCCAUGUCGUAGUUGUAAAAACAAAGUAGUAAGGCAACUGAAAGAAGUGGAGGAUCAUUUAUACAAGUAUGAAAUGUACAAACAAUACACGGCUUGGAUAUAUCAUGGAGAGAGUGUUCAAAACUCAAAAAAUGAUCAAGUCGAGCUUGGUGUUAAUGAUAUAGAAGACCAAAGUGGAAAUGCUGACGAGGUGCAUGAAUACUUGGAAGACAUACAGAUUGGAGAAUACAUGAAUAUUAAACAAGAAUAUAUUCAACAUAAUAACAGACCACUUAAUAUCCCUGAAGGUGAGGGGGAAGGAGGUGCAUAUAGGUUUGCGAGAUUGUUGUAGAAUUCAUAAUGUGAGGUUGUUGAUUCAUGGUUGAUAAAGUGUUUUGCACUUUAAAUGUGUUAUAACAUGUGUCUUGUUGAUAAGAUGGUUCAGCAUAUACAGGGUUCAGAACUCAAAAGUUCAGCACUAACAUGGUUUAGCACAUAUAGGGUUUGGCACCUAAAGGUUCGGCACUUAAAGGUUCGGCACCUAAAGGUUCAGCACUUGAAGGUUCGGCAAGUUCAUGGUUCAGCAAGCUCAUGGUUUAGCACAGGUUGCAGGAAAGUUCUCCCAUAUAUCUAUUGAAGGCUGAAGGCUAAAUGGGCUAUAGCAAGCAACAUCUGGUUUAAGCAUUUCAAUACAAGGCUGAAGGCUAAAGGCUGAAGGCUAAAUGGGCUGCAGCAAGCAACGUCUGGUUUAAGCAACAAGUGUCAAGUUAAAGGGCAUUUUUGGGAGUCCAUAUACAAUGGUGGUCACAAGGCUGUACAAUGAAUAUUCAAAUGACAUGUGCACAGUGGUCUUUCAGAGAGAGUGUGAUAUCAGCCUUGCUUUGUCUCUAAGGAAAAGAAUUUCAAAAACAAGUCUGCUAUAUGUAUUUGUGACCUGUGAAUGAGCUUGGAAUAUACCACUGCCACGUGGCAUUGUGGUCCUGUAGAAAGAAGGCUGUACAGCGAAUUCAUUGGCUAAUGGAGGAUUGAUCUUAUCCUCUAUAGGGUUUUCUAUGUUGCAUAUAAAAGGGCUGUUAUAGCAUUCAACAAGGUGUGCCUCUUUGAGUGAAAAAGCAAGGUAUGCAGCUGUGGUGAGAGGUUUUAUUCGUGAGCUAAGAAUGAACAACAAUUUUUGAGAUAUUGCAUGAUGUUUGAGCUCCAAUGAAUCUAAAAAAUUUGCCUAAAGAAAGUACAGUUGCAGAUAUGAGAAGUGAGGCUGAUUGGUGCUGAUUUUCUGAUGCAAAAGGUGGCUGAAGUGAUUCAAAGUUGCUGGGGUCGUGUCUAAAGCUUGAACAAAGGGCUGAGCAUACAUAUUUUGGUGAUAUACAACAGGUGAAGGUGCCUGAGACCACAUAUUAAGGUUGGUAUUGAAUAUCAUAUCUCAAACCUCUAGAUAAUCUUGGUUUUCUGGUUUAAGCUGUUGAAACUGAACUUAGAAAGCUAUAACCAUGCUAUAUUAUGAAGUGAACUAAUUUGAUCAAUGAUGCUAGCUAUGCUGUGAUAAUCAUCUGAGCAUCUAUAAUUUGCUGAAAUAUGACUUAGGGUGUAGGGCUUAUGUUGAUGUUGCUGUGAAAUUCCAUUUCUGCCCCAUUAUCAGUGCUGCAGCAGAAACUGAUUUACACAUUGAUCUCGGACUUUAAUUUAUUUACACCUUGCAAUUAUCUCUGAAAUAUUACCUUGAGCAGGUGUUAUAUAUUGAGAUUUAACUGUGUGUGUGCUGUAUUGUUGAUUCUUGGUAUGCAUAUCUUCUCCCAGUUAGACCAAGCAUAAUAUAUUUAUUCCGAGCCAGUUUUAUGAAUAUUUAAAUUCUAUAUUGAGUUCUGUUGAACACUGAGCUGAAGACUAUCACUGAGCAAGUUUAUAUUGCUAAAAGAAGACUGAGUUCAUUCAGGUUGAGGUCAAUUUGAAGCUGCAUUGAAGAAAGCCUUUCUAUUCUUUAAGGCUCGGGUUUUAAGUGAAAAUAAGCCUGUUCUGCACUAUAAUUGUCAUACCUUGCUUUAUAAUUUGUUCCAAUCAAUUGAGCAAGUUUAUUUGGCCUGUUGAAGAAUGGGGGAGUGAAGUUUGAGCAGGUUCUGAAGCGUGGGAGUAGAUAUUGUUGAGGUUUGAUCUGAACGUAGGGGCUACAUUGUUGAGUAUUUGUGCUGCUGCCUAUUGAAGUUUGUUUGCUAAACACAAACUGUUUCGGGGCUGGCAUUGUGUUAUCUUGCUGUGAUUAAUGUUUAUUUCAUUUGUGCAAGUGUGCUAAGAUUAUAAAGCAGUGGAAGACAUUUACAGGGCUGAACCGAGGCUACAUUGUGAAAAGACCAUUCUACCCUUGAUUUUGUGAAUCAAGCCUUUUGUGAAGUGACAUUGUGAUACCUUGCUCCAAUCACUGUGAAUCUUGUUGAGCAGGGUGUAUGAAGAUAUCAAGGCUACAGGUGACAAGUGCAGGUCAGUUCUGAAGCUGCAGAGUGAAGUUAUUUCAUUACCCUUGAAUUUGGGAUUUUACCUUGAGAGUGUUGUUUGUGUUUUACCUUGCUUAUCUACUUGUGCUAUCCUUACAAGCAAAUGUAUUCGACUAAUUCAAGGUUAUGUGAACCUAGUUUGAUAUUCAAGUGAAGCUAUAUUGUGCCGAGGGAGAUUUAUUUUAUUGAUUGCAGAAGAGAGAAGCUAGGAUUGCACUGUAUUCUUUGAUUCAAGGUUGAGUUCUACAUUCUUAUCUUGUGGUGCAGCCGAAGUAAAUUGUAUUUAGUGUGUUGACACUUCAUUAUAUAUGGUAGUGAGGCUUUACAUCCUUACCCCAUUGUUGAUCAAGCUAUUGAGAGCUUUAUGUGUCCAAGCAUAGGGGCUGUGGACUGGGGGAGUGCCGGUGUGCACAUUGUUUGAUCUUGUGUGUGUGUAGGUGGAGUGAAAGUUAGUGUCUUAGUGAGUACAAGGUGGUUGGAAAGUGGGGCAACUGAGUGAGUAAUUACUUGCAUGCAGCAAGUGAAGAUGGUGAACUAGUGAGUGUGAAUUGCUUGCGAAAACUAGUGUCUAUUCUUGUGCCUGGGUGUGUGCAGAGAGUGAGACAGUUAAGUGUGUAACAAGGUUCAUACUACUAGUGGAGGCAUUUUUUGGCUGAGGCCAAGAACCAAGGUUUUUCCCUAUUGUUAGGGUUUCCUUGUAUAUCUUGUGUCAUGUUGAAGACUUCAAGUCUAAGCUCUCAGUCUUAAUCUCUUUUUCACUUGUCAUUUGUAACAUAGUGAAGCUCAGAUCAAAGAAAGUAUUGUGGAAAAACAGCAUUGUUAAAGAGAGGGCUGCAACCUUUUUGACAGAUAAAAGCAAGGCUAAACAAGGUUCUAGUGCUGAGGUUGAUUACAUUGCAAAAAAUCUCUUUAGUCUCAGGCUCAAGAAGCAAAGUCAAUCUGGGAAUGAGGUCUAUUACAGAUUUAGAAGAUGGAUCUUUGAAAGGAGCUGGUUACAGAAGUUUAACAAUAAGAAAAGGGGCUCAACGUUGCAGAGGGUUAAGAAAAAGAAAGGUCAUAAAGGACUGUCCAGUGCUCUUAGUAUAAUUGCUCACAUGUCUAAAUAUGAGAAGUUUAAUAACUAUACUCAGAUUACAUCUAUGAAAAUUCAAGGAAACUUUAGUUUGAGUUGUCUAAAGAGAGCUCUGAUCCCUAAAUGGAAAUCUAAUCCUGAAAAAUCAUUGAAGCAACAAGCUGAAAUGAAGAGUGAAGAUAUAUCCACAGCAGAGAAUGUUACACUUGAAGAUGUUGGUGAUAAACAUAAUUCAUAUUGGCAACUUUCAAGAAGUGUAUCUUUUGAUCAAUUCAAAGCCAGUUUAUCUAUCAUGAACUCCAUCUCAUUUGCAGCCUACUACCUAACAGAUUUCAGAUCAAAAGUCUCAUUGAGAAGACUUGAAAAAUGUAGAAAAUUGCAUCUGUGGUGUUCCACUUCUUAUGCUUCUGAAGAAGGCUUAUUGAAAUCUCAAGAAGACUAGAAGAAUAUUCUUAAAUUGAUUCAAGAAGUUGAUAGUGUUCACAAGGGUGAAGUUACAAAAUGUUUAAAAUAGGCUCAGUCAAUAGCUCUUAAAGAUGAAACUGUCCUUGUUCACAAAGAUCUUCCAACUGUCCUAAACUUUGUCAAUUCAGUUUUUAAGCCUCUAAAGAGAAGACCACCUAAUGUUGAACACAUAGAGAUUUAUAGUCCCUCUUCCACUAAUCCCUUCAUCAAAUCAAAACAGACAUGCUCAGUGAUAAAGUCUAUAUAUUCAAGGUUCAGGAUCAACACAUGCUUUUCAAGUUCAAAAACUGGUUGUCACAUCAAAGUAAGUGGAUUUCAAGCUUCGGAGAUGAUUGUUCUCAUAGCCACAAGUUCUUCAAGAAUAGGUAAACUUGCUAAAUUCUCAAAAGUUCAAGAACUCAAAGCCUCCAUAUGCCUAUCAAAGUUGAAAUUCAGAAACAAAAGAAAUUUAAGGUACCUUGAAGAGGAAAAGGAUGAAGAAGACAAUAAUUUUGCAAUUCAACUCUUAAAUGAAUCCAAAAUUCAGUGUGGAACUAAGGGUGCUGCAAACUGUUUUGAAUCAAAUCUGGUAUCAAAUCACUCUUCACUUACCUCUACAACCAAGCUUUCUAUUCCUUCACAAGCCUGUUCUCAACAUAGUUGGAUGAAGAUGAAAAUGUCAGACAUAGAGUCUCAAUCUCAAAGCUUAUAAAGUUUAUUUAUCCCUUCAAGACCUCCUCCACUGAGAGAUAAGAACCUGAAAAUUGAUCUUGAAGGUGCAUUGAUGGAUGUUGCAGCUCAAUCAAUCCAUUGUGUCCUUUCAAGGGUUAUUCUUAGUUGGAGCUGCAGACAACCAACAUUUGUUAAAGCCCUUAAACAUCACUCUCUAUGUUUACCAAUCUCAAGGGUGGUCAAUCUCAGGCCUCCUUCUCUCAGAGACAAGGAUGUGAAAAUUGUUACAGCAGGUAUGGUGUUCAAUUUGGUAGCUCCUUGUUCAGAAUUCUUCUAUCUUUUUUCAAAGUUUGUACCUCAUCUCCUCUAAUACUUCCCAAUUGAAAAGUUUCUAGCCUUUAACUCUUUAUUUUGACAUCUAUUUACCUUUUGACUUCCAAUGUCAAAAAGGGGGAGAAAUGGACUAAUAGGUUUUUAACAUUUGAAAGUGCAAAAGGUGGAGAUUGUUGAUUCACGGUUGAUCAAGUGUUUUGCACUUUAAAUGUGUUAUAACAUGUGUCUUGUUGAUAAGAUGGUUCAGCACAUACAGGGUUCGGAACUCAAAGGUUCAGCACAUACAGGGUUCGGCACCUAAAGGUUCGGCAAGUUCAUGGUUCAGCAAGUUCAUGGUUCAGCACAGGCUACAGGAAAGUUCUCCCAUAUAUCUACUGAAGGCUAAAGGCUAAAUGGGCUGCAGCAAGUAACAUCUGGUUUAAGCAUUUUAAUACAAGGCUGAGAGCUGAAGGCUAAAUGGGCUGCAGCAAGCAACGUCUGGUUUAAGCAACAAGUGUCAAGUUGAAGGGCAUUUCUGGAAGUCCAUAUACAAUGGUGGUCACAAGGAUGUACAAUGAAUAUUCAAAUGACACGUGCACAGUGGUCCUUCAGAGAAAGUGUGAUAUUAGCCUUGCUUUGUCUUUAAGGAAAAGAAUUUAAAAAACAAGUCUGCUAUGUGUGUUUGUGAGCUGUGAAUGAGCUUGGAAUAUACCACUGCCACGUGGCAUUGUGGUCCUGCAGAGAGAAGGCUGUACAAUGAAUUAAUUGGCUAAUGGAGGAUUGAUCUUAUCCUCUCUAGGGUUUUCUAUGUUGCAUAUAAAAGGGCUGUUAUAACAUUCAGCAAGGUGUGCCUCUUUGAGUGAAAAAGCAAGGUUUACAGCUGCGGUGAGAGCUUUUAUUCGUGAGUUGAGAAUGAACAACAAUUUCUGAGAUAUUGCAUGAUGUUUGAGCUCUAAUGAAUCUCAAAAAUUUGCCUGAAGAAAGCACAGUUGCAGAUACGAGAAGUGAGGCUGAUUGGUGCUGAUUUUCUGAUGCAAAAGGUGGCUGAAGUGAUUCAAAGUUGCUGGGGUCGUGUCUGAAGCUUGAACAAAGGGCUGAGCAUACAUAUUUUGGUGAUAUACAACAGCUGAAGGUGCUCGAGACUACAUAUUAAGGCUGGUACAGGAUACAAGAUUGGAGAUUGAAAUUGCUUGCAUGAUUUGCUGAGUUGAGCUUCUUUAGAAGCAUUCUUGUUCACAUGUUUUUAGAUUCAAGUUUGGGGGCGUGGCUUUUGGAAUUCACAUGGUGGCAUAUUGUUACAACGCCACAAAUUUUCUUCCUACUCGGUAUUAUUGCUCUUUUUACCCUCUCUAUUUUUCAUUUUUCAUUCUUUGUCUUCUCACAUUGAGGGCAAUGUGACAUUCAAGUUUGGGGGUAUCAUUUUGGUAUGAAUCUUUGAUUUUGGUAUGCAUUUUUGUUUGCAUGUGCAAAAAUUGUUCAUGUAAAUUGAUAAAAUAAUUUUUGGGAAGUAAGGAUCUUGUAAUCUUGGAACUUGUUAGAGACUGAACCAUGUAUUUAAUACUUUGUGUAUAGAGGCAAAUGAUAGUUUUGAAAUAAAGAAAAAUCUAAAAUGAUCAUAUUGAUUCAAAUUAGUUUGUAUAAAUGCUUCAAUUAGAUUUUCGUCAGAUUUUAUUCUCUUCUAUGCUUCACACUUUUACAGAUGCACACCAGAAACUUAAUUGUGAGGCAUGCAACUUAAUUUACCUUGACCAUGACUUAGUUGAUUUGAAUUGAUGACCCUAAUGAAUGGAUACCUUUGGCAUGAAACUUAUUAAAAAAAAAAAUUGACUAGCUGAAGUUCGUAGCCUUGCUAACUCGAGUUAUUAAGCCUUUGGAUUGUCCUUACACUUAGCACCCUAAAGCCAUCCAAUUUGGGAGUUGUUGGCCUAACACUUGCUACAUGGGUUAGUUAGAAAGCUUAAGGGACAUAGACAUUGCAUGGUCAUUCACAAAAAAUUAAAAAUAAAUAAAUAAAUAUGGUUAGUUUGAGUUCGUAGCCUUGCUAAUUUGAGUUAUUAAGCCUUUGGAGUGUCCUUACACUUAGCACCCUAAAGCCAUCCGGUUUGGGAGUUGCUGGCCUAACACUUGCUACAUGGGUUAGUUAGAAAGCUUAAGGGACUUUGACAUUGCACGGCCAUAAAAAAAAAAUAAUAAUAAAUAACAACAACAAAAGUUGUAUUUUGAAUAAAUUCAUGACUUAGAGGCCUCAUUUAAAAGGGAAAUUCAAUGAUUUGAAGACUUGUGUACUUGAAAUGGGAAAAAAGGGUAAAAGCCACAUAUUGGGAAUCCGGUUCACUUUAAAUGAAGCUAGAGAUGAUUUCUUUUAUAGAUAUGAAAAUUGAAGUAUUUAUAUGGACUAUGAUGUUGAUUCAUGAGAAUUGAAAUAUGUUUGGCCAUUUUGUUAUAUCAAGGCUUCUUAUACACAAGGUAGUCUUCGUAAUGAUUCCAUCUCCAAUGUUCUCUGUUCUAAGUUGCAAAUGAGCCUUGUGCAUCUUCGUGCACCAUGAUUGAUACUUUUGGGUAGCAUUCCAAUUGUUGUCAAUUCAUUAAGUAUUUAUUUUGGUUUUGCUAUGGGACUAGCAAAAUGUAAGUUUGGGGAUAUGAUAAGUGCCAAAUAUUGUAUAUUCAAGCACUCUUAUUUGCAUUAGUUAAGUCUAUUAGUUGGUUCUAUUGUUUAGGUUAUCUUUAUUUGCAUGUCUUUGUUUAUUUUUUGGUUUGUUUCCCAAAAAGGAAUAAGAAUGAUGUUUUGAUGAGUUCUUGAAGAUCAAAGCAUGCCGGGCCGGGGAUCUCCAGUUUGCAAAGCUAAUUCGUGCCAUUGAACUCAUGGCAUUCUCUGCAUCAUGCCAAGAAGGAAACUAGCAUUAUCGGGCCAGGACAAAGUCAUUUCAAGAAGGAGAUUUGAGCCCAGGAGCAUUGCGGGGCCUCGCCAUGCACUGCAAGUGCCCGCCAAUUUGUCCAGUAGGUUUCAAAUUUGGUGUGGCCCGUCCAUGCAUUAUGGGCCCCCGCCAUUUGCUAUCAUGAGAGCCAUGGAUGCCCUUUGCCAGUGCAUGGAAGUCCCCUUAACACCUCGCAGGCGCCCUCCAAGCUACAGACAGUAGGUCACCAAUUCCAUUGUUUUGCUCAAUGUUGUCCCCUUGACUAAAUGAAUGGCUCUGCACUAUUCUAGGGAUUUCUAACCACGAGAUUAAUUGAUUUUGGGAGGAUUUUUGGCUCAUAAAAAGGGUUUGAAUGGUUGUGAAGAGAUAUCCAACAUUAUAAGUUUUUCUAGAGAGAGAAAUAUUAUAUUAUUGAGAGCUUGGGUUGGAGCUUGCUUCUAGGGUGAAAAUGGAGGGGCUGAUCCUCUCAACCUCUUCCUCCCUUGCUUCUAUGGGUAACUAACUCCCUUUCUAGGGAGGUGAUGAAGCCCUUCUUUGUAAGCAUGCUUUAGUUUUGUUUAAUUUGGGGAAUGAAGUAUGUAUAUGGUAGUUUCAUAAUCUAGAGCACUAAACUUGAUUGAAUGGAGUUUAAUCUCUAUAAA